AGCGAACGCUGGCGGCAGGCCUAACACAUGCAAGUCGAACGAAGCCUUCGGGCUUAGUGGCGGACGGGUGAGUAACACGUGGGAACGUACCUUUUGGUUCGGAACAACUCAGGGAGACUUGAGCUAAUACCGGAUGAGCCCUUAGGGGGGAAGAUUUAUCGCCGAAAGAGCGGCCCGCGUUAGAUUAGCUAGUUGGUGAGGUAAAGGCUCACCAAGGCAACGAUCUAUAGCUGGUCUGAGAGGAUGAUCAGCCACACUGGGACUGAGACACGGCCCAGACUCCUACGGGAGGCAGCAGUGGGGAAUCUUGCGCAAUGGGCGAAAGCCUGACGCAGCCAUGCCGCGUGAAUGAUGAAGGUCUUAGGAUUGCAAAAUUCUUUUACCAGGAACGAUAAUGACGGUACCUGGAGAAAAAGCCCCGGCUAACUUCGUGCCAGCAGCCGCAGUAACAC
rnacentral:rRNA from 1 species